AUGUACCACUCGGUUCCUGCGCGCCGUCCGCGCCCACCUGACAGCUGCUCGCUACGUUUUGUUGGCC
rnacentral:sRNA from 1 species